AGAGUUUGAUCCUGGCUCAGAUUGAACGCUGGCGGAAUGCUUUACACAUGCAAGUCGAGCGGCAGCGCGGGGCAACCUGGCGGCGAGCGGCGAACGGGUGAGUAAUGCAUCGGAACAUGUCCAUGUCGUGGGGGAUAGCCCGGCGAAAGCCGGAUUAAUACCGCAUAAGCCCGAGAGGGGAAAGCAGGGGACCGCAAGGCCUUGCGCGAUUGGGUUGGCCGAUGUCCGAUUAGCUUGUUGGUGAGGUAAAGGCUUACCAAGGCGAUGAUCGGUAGCUGGUCUGAGAGGAUGAUCAGCCACACUGGGACUGAGACACGGCCCAGACUCCUACGGGAGGCAGCAGUGGGGAAUUUUGGACAAUGGGGGCAACCCUGAUCCAGCAAUGCCGCGUGAGUGAAGAAGGCCUUCGGGUUGUAAAGCUCUUUUGUCAGGGGAAGGAAACGGUGGAAAGGCUAAAUAUCCUUUGCUAAAUGACGGACCUGAAGA
rnacentral:rRNA from 1 species